rnacentral:rRNA from 1 species
GAUGAACGCUGGCGGCGUGCCUAAUACAUGCAAGUCGAGCGAACGGACGAGAAGCUUGCUUCUCUGAUGUUAGCGGCGGACGGGUGAGUAACACGUGGAUAACCUACCUAUAAGACUGGGAUAACUUCGGGAAACCGGAGCUAAUACCGGAUAAUAUUUUGAACCGCAUGGUUCAAAAGUGAAGGACGGUCUUGCUGUCACUUAUAGAUGGAUCCGCGCUGCAUUAGCUAGUUGGUAAGGUAACGGCUUACCAAGGCAACGAUGCAUAGCCGACCUGAGAGGGUGAUCGGCCACACUGGAACUGAGACACGGUCCAGACUCCUACGGGAGGCAGCAGUAGGGAAUCUUCCGCAAUGGGCGAAAGCCUGACGGAGCAACGCCGCGUGAGUGAUGAAGGUCUUCGGAUCGUAAAACUCGGUUAUUAGGGAAGAACAUAUGUGUAAGUAACUGUGCACAUCUUGACGGUACCUAAUCAGAAAGCCACGGCUAACUACGUG